rnacentral:lncRNA from 1 species
CGUACCUGUGAGCCAGCCGCAGUGAAAUGCUGUCCUUUCUAAGAGUCACCAUGGUCAUGGCCUCUUCUGCCAAUAGAAACCUUAACUAAGACAGGACCCCAAAGUGGAAUUAGAACAAUAGCUGCUAGUGCCCAGUUUCUGGAUGAGCUCAAACCAGCUUCAGGGCCUUCUUCACUUAGGAGCCGUGCUCAGAAUACUCGAUGAUAGGGGUACUUAAGCCCAGAUUCAUAUUUAUGCAUGUUACACAUCUAGUUAUAGCAGGCUGAAUUCUGGGUAAAACGGGCUUCUAAGAAAAAAGCAUACCCCCCUUUCCUGGAAGUGCUUACCCAAGGAGAGGCACAAGGAGAAGAGACUGAAAGUCUCCCCUCUGCCAAGGAUGAGUCAUCGUUGCUCAGUUCAGCUCAUGGCCUUUUCUUUUUCUAAAGAGUGUAUUCUUGCUUCCUUGCCUGCUCCAAUUAAUCUUUUGAGAUUUGGAUCCACUGUUUCCCCUCUGAAUUCUUCUCUUUCAGGAGUAUGAGGGUCGAGUACUACUGACAUAGAAAAAGAGAUAGGAAGGGACCAAGGACAAGAUACCCUCAAGGACCUACUCGUGGCUUGCUUCCUCCAGGGCAUGCUUCUUGGAAAAGCCUAAUCAAGAUAAAGAGUGAGUGAGUUGGGGAGAGAGCAGGUGCGUGUUGAAAAGGGAACUUGGAGUCGUCUGGGGAUGCGGAGCAAAAGGAAGUCUCAGUUACUGCUGACGGGGACGCAAAAUACAGCGUUUUGCAGAAUUUAGCAGUUUCCUACAAGGGAUUUGGAAGUCCCACAUACCCCUUCCGCCCAGCAGUUGGCCCAUGGCUUCUUUACUGAUAGAUCAAGAACCAACUGGGGAACAGGACCUUAGCAUCAGACCCACACCUACAUGAGUUUAUGUCCGUCUGCUUCCACUGUGGCCUAGAAACUCCAGAGAGUUCAUGGUCCCUUCCCUGGAAUCUGACGUAUUCAGUUUUUUGUUAAGUAUUACAAUAAAUGACAAUUUUCAAAU